CAGUGGUAGAACACCACCUUGCCAAGGUGGGGGUCGCGGGUUCGAAUCCCGUCGUUCGCU
rnacentral:tRNA from 1 species